rnacentral:rRNA from 1 species
GGCACGCCUUAUACAUGCAAGUCGAACGAAGUAGCAAUACUUAGUGGCAGACGGGUGAGUAACAUGUAGGUAUCUUCCCUUUGGUGAGGAAUAACACGAGGAAACUUGUGCUAAUACCUCAUAAGUCUUUACGGAGAAAGCUUUAUGCGCCGAAGGAUGAGCCUGCACUUGAUUAGUUUGUUGGUGGGGUAAUGGCCUACCAAGACUUUGAUCUAUAGCUGAUCUGAGAGGAUGAUCAGCCACAUUGGGACUGAGACACGGCCCAAACUCCUACGGGAGGCAGCAGUAGGGAAUAUUGCACAAUGGAGGAAACUCUGAUGCAGCGAUGCCGCGUGAGUGAAGAAGGCCUUUGGGUUGUAAAGCUCUUUCGUCGGGGAAGAAAAUGACUGUACCCGAAUAAGAAGGUC